AUUGAACGCUGGCGGCAUGCUUUACACAUGCAAGUCGAACGGCAGCGCGGGCUUCGGCCUGGCUUCGAGUGGCGAACUGGUGAGUAAUGCAUCGGAACGUGCCCAGUAGUGUGGGAUAGCCCGGCGAAAGCCGGAUUAAUACCGCAUACGACCUGAGGGUGAAAGCGGGGGACCGAGAGGCCUCGCGCUAUUGGAGCGGCCGAUGUCGGAUUAGCUAGUUGGUGGGGUAAAGGCUUACCAAGGCGACGAUCCGUAGCUGGUCUGAUAGGACGACCAGCCACACUGGGACUGAGACACGGCCCAGACUCCUACGGGAGGCAGCAGUGGGGAAUUUUGGACAAUGGGGGCAACCCUGAUCCAGCCAUGCCGCGUGCGGGAAGAAGGCCUUCGGGUUGUAAACCGCUUUUGUUCGGGAAGAAAUCCUCUGGGCUAAUACCCCGGGGGGCUGACGGUACCGGAAGAAUAAGCACCGGCUAACUACGUG
rnacentral:rRNA from 1 species